AGAGCGAACGCUGGCGGCAGGCCUAACACAUGCAAGUCGAGCGCCCGUAGCAAUACGGGAGCGGCAGACGGGAUAGCAACACGUGGGAACGCGCCCUUCGGUUCGGAAUAACUCAGGGAAACUUGAGCUAAUACCGGAUACGCCCUUACGGGGAAAGAUUUAUUGCCGAAGGAACGGCCCGCGUCCGAUUAGCUAGUUGGUGAGGUAAUGGCUCACCAAGGCGACGAUCGGUAGCUGGUCUGAGAGGAUGACCAGCAUCACUGGGACUAAGACACGGCCCAGACUCCUACGGGAGGCAGCAGUGGGGAAUAUUGGACAAUGGGCGCAAGCCUGAUCCAGCCAUGCCGCGUGGAUGAUGAAGGCCUUAGGGUUGUAAAGUCCUUUUAACGGGAAGAUAAUGACGGUACCCGUAGAAUAAGCCCCGGCUAACUUCGUGCCAGCAGCCGC
rnacentral:rRNA from 1 species